rnacentral:rRNA from 1 species
AGAUUGAACGCUGGCGGCAUGCCUUACACAUGCAAGUCGAACGGCAGCACGGGAGCAAUCCUGGUGGCGAGUGGCGAACGGGUGAGUGAUACAUCGGAACGUGCCCAAUCGUGGGGGACAACGCAGCGAAAGCUGUGCUAAUACCGCAUAAGAUCUACGGAUGAAAGCAGGGGAUCGCAAGACCUUGCGCGAAUGGAGCGGCUGAUAUCAGAUUAGGUUGUUGGUGAGGUAAAAGCUCACCAAGCCGACGAUCUGUAGCUGGUUUGAGAGAACGACCAGCCACAC